rnacentral:lncRNA from 1 species
CCAGGUGAUUCUGCUUUCAUCCAAGGGCCGCAUUCUCAGAGGCAGCAUCUGGGUCCAGGGAAAGAAAGGAUUGCCUGGGUUCCCCAGUGGGUUGGAGGCCAGGCAGGAAGGGAUCCCCGGCUCCUAGUCUUCAUGUAAGCUCUACAUUCUACAGUCUCUAGGAUAUCUAACAGAUCAAGGGUCUGAAGGUAAGCUCCCAGAAGACAGAGGUUUUGUUCAGUUCACUACUGGAUUCCUAAUACUUGGAACAGUGCCUGGACAGAGUAGGUGCUUAAAACUUAUUUUUGAGUCAAUGGAUAAUUGACAUGGCUGGUUUGAACUUCUGGAUCUUUUGCUUUGCUUUCACACAAGGAUUACUUAUACCAAUACUUUAUUUUAAAAUCUCUGGAAAUGAGACCAUCUGAAAUCAGAUAAAUAUGGCUUCAGAUACCAGCUCUGGCACUACUAGUUGCAUGAUCAUCAAUAUGUUACUUCUCUGUGCCUUAGUUUCCACAUCUGAAAAUUGAGGGUAAGAGUCCCUCUCUAGAUUUGUGAAUGGGAUGAACACAGGAUUUUAAGUACGGUUAGCCAGCAUCCAAGAUGGCCUCAAUGAUCUCUGCCUCUGGUAUUUAUGCCCUUGAGUAAUCCCAUUCCACAUGUCUCGGGUUGGUCUGUGUGUCUUAUAGAAUAUGGCUUGAAGUGAGGUUAUGUGGCUUCUGAAGCUAUCACAAUGUCAUAAAGGACACUGUGACUUCUGUCUUGCUCCAUUUCUGGGGUCACUUGCACUAGAGGAAGUCAGCUACUAAAUUACAAAGAAAUUCCAGCAACCACAAGGAGAGGUCCACAAAGUGAGAGAUUGAACCCUCGAGCUAACAAGCAUGUGAGUGAGACAUGUUGGAAGUGGAUUCUCCAGCUCCAGUCAAGCCUUCAGAUGAAUGCAGCUCCAGCCAACAUCUCACUGCAGCUUUAUGAGAGCCUCUGAGCUGGAGCCACUAGGCCAAGCUGUUCCCAAAUUCCUGACUCUCAGAAACUGUUGUGCAUAGGAAGAAUCUGGGGACCUUGUGGAAAGUGCAGCUCCCAGACACCUGCCUCAACUGACUCUGUGGAUGUGGAGCGGGCCCUGCCACUCCCCAUUUUUAACCUACUGGGGAGAGAACGGGAGGCAAAACUACAAACCUGAAAAUAAAGUGGCUAAGUGGCUUCUCAAACUCUUUCCAAGUCUCUAAACACCGCUGAGUCUGGAUUGUCACUGUGCUCUACAGAGGAAACGAAGACCAAGAAUUAAGCAGCUCGAUUUUCCAGUGCAGACUGUUUGACCUUUGUGACUAGUAAACCACUCCUUUUAUUAAGGCCAAAUCUGCAAAAUCUGUCUUAAAGAAAAUGGUCAGUCUUUCCUUUCUUCUAAACAUCUCUGAUUUUUUCAUCUUGUUUCCUGACUAUUCACAGACAGCAACAAUAACAGAUUCUGGAAAGAAGGAUUUGUAAUGAGGAAAUCAAGGCAGUGAGAUAAAGCAACUUGCCUGAGGUCACCCAGUUGGCAAGCUGGGGCACAGAUUUUCAGAGGUUUCUGGGAUUCCAAACCCUGUGCUCUCGGGCAUUUGUCUGAGAAAACUCUCAGGGAAGGUGUGGGCUUGUCGCCCCUGGAGGCCUUCCAGCUCCGACGUUUUGAAGCCUGGCUCCCAGAUUAAACUCCCUUCGGAUCCCAUUUUCUGAAGGGUCGCAAAAGCUGGGGGCUGGGUGGGGUAAGCUAGGGGACAACAGCGGCUCCGGCCGCCGCCUGAGCCCUUCAAGAUCAGCAUCCGGUCAAGCGGCUGUGCAGCCGAGAAGCAACCCGGGACUGCAAGUCUGCGUGGCGGGGACGGCGCAACCACUCAC